UACAGAGGGUGCAAGCGUUGCUCGGAAUCAUUGGGCGUAAAGGGUAGGUAGGUGGUCUCGUUUGUCUGGGGUGAAAGCCUUGAGCUUAACUCAAGAAGUGCCUUAGAAACGGCGAGACUGGAGUCUUGGAGAGGGUCGUGGAAUUCCCGGUGUAGCGGUGAAAUGCGUAGAUAUCAAGUGGAACACCAGUGGCGAAGGCGAGUCCCUGGAAAACUCCUGACACUGAGGCACGAAAGCUAGGGGAGCAAACAGG
rnacentral:rRNA from 1 species